rnacentral:pre_miRNA from 14 species
UCUUCAGAGACGAGGGUGGUCGAUGAUCCCAGACGAGCCCCCAAAUGAAAGACCCCCCAGAGCAGGGAGACCCUCACUCAAGUCUCGGGAUGAUGCGAUCCCCCAAGAACUCAUGUGAGACC